rnacentral:rRNA from 1 species
UACGGAGGGUGCAAGCGUUAAUCGGAAUUACUGGGCGUAAAGGGCGCGUAGGCGGCUUGCCAAGCCGGAUGUGAAAGCCCCGGGCUCAACCCGGGAACGGCAUUCGGAACUGGCAGGCUAGAGUGCAGGAGAGGAAGGUGGAAUUCCCGGUGUAGCGGUGAAAUGCGUAGAGAUCGGGAGGAAUACCAGUGGCGAAGGCGGCCUUCUGGACUGACACUGACGCUGAGGCGCGAAAGCGUGGGUAGCAAACAGG